CCUACGGGAGGCAGCAGUGAGGAAUAUUGGUCAAUGGACGAGAGUCUGAACCAGCCAAGUAGCGUGAAGGAUGACUGCCCUAUGGGUUGUAAACUUCUUUUAUAAAGGAAUAAAACGAGGCACGUGUGCCUUUUUGCAUGUACUUUAUGAAUAAGGAUCGGCUAACUCCGUGCCAGCAGCCGCGGUAAUACGGAGGAUCCGAGCGUUAUCCGGAUUUAUUGGGUUUAAAGGGGGCGUAGAUGGGUUGUUAAGUUAGUUGGGAAAGUUUGCGGCUCAACCGUAAAAUUGCAAUUGAUACUGGCAGUCUUGAGUACAGAUGAAGUAGGCGGAAUGCGUGGUGUAGCGGUGAAAUGCUUAGAUAUCACGCAGAACCCCGAUUGCGAAGGCAGCUUACUAAACUGUGACUGACAUUGAUGCUCGAAAGUGUGGGUAUCAAACAGGAUUAGAUACCCUUGUAGUC
rnacentral:rRNA from 1 species